UAGAAAGGUACUUUGACCAAGAAAGUGAACAAAGAAGUGACAGCAGAAUAAAGAGGAAUUUAUUAUGUUCGGGGAUUAAAUUAAAUCAACGCAUGUUUUCAUCAUUGGAAGGACGUUCAAUGAUAAAUGUCCUUCGAUCUGCCUUUUAAAAUGUUGAAUUAAUUGGAAAUGGACAAACCCUGAACGAGAGAUGCGACCUUUGAUGUAAGAGAAUAAAGAUAAACGUGUAAUUUGCCUACGGAAAAGUGUACGUAUGACUGUGAUUAUGAGUGUCAUCAAUCGUGAGAAAGACGAAACUCACGGCCAGCUUACUAUGUACUUGCCUACGUGCCCGGUGAACUUCGCCAGAUCUAUCGAUGGAAAAUAAACGGCAUAUCCAUUAUGAUGUUAUUUUACGGUGGAAACAAAAAGAAAGCGAAGAUAUGUAAAUCUUCUAAUAUCCUCCAGAAGAUUCUGGAUGAAAAAUAGUCGACACGUGGUAGGAGAUUGGUAUUACUGGAAGACAGAGAAGAUAAGGAAAGAGGAAUAACAGUAGAAGAUAUAUAGGAUUCGCAGCUAAAUCGUCGAUGCUGUUACGUACGAAGCGCAUCGUUCACCGAGCUGGCAAAUGGACAACAUCUGCAAUGGACAGAUACGUGUUGUGAUACGUGUUGAAUACGUGUUGUGUCUUUAGUACUUAAGAGUGAGAUAGAGAUAGAGAGAAAGAUUUCAGGGAGGAAUUAACUGAAAUCAAGAGUAGGUGGGAGGUCGAAUAGCGUCCUCUCAUUAUGGCCGCCCCUUGGUCCCGGGAUCGUUCGACGAUCCUUGUACGUGUGUCGUCUCUUGUUCACGCUAAAGAUGGGUGUAUAACAAUCGUAUACAGUAUAUCUCCAAAUGUACAUUAAUAUUUAUAGAUUUAUAUGUAGGGUAUCGUGUUAGUUGUAAAUCGGGCAAGAUUUUUGGUGAUUUCUUUUUUUCGUGAAAAAAGUAAGUAAAAGAG
rnacentral:lncRNA from 1 species